AUUGUCAUUUAUGAACUGAUCGUCGCCCUUCGACUCAUCAAGAUUCAAUAUAAAAUCAGCUUCAACUUCAUUAGAUGGCAUAUCAGUCCUAUUCAAAGGUGCCAUUAUAAGUUCUUUAUCAACCAAAAGCUCGACUAAUGUUUGUUCUUCUUGCUAAAAAGCUUCCUCUUCAUGAAAAUUUAAAUUUUUAUCAAUCUCUAAUCGAUUUGGUAUGUCAUAUACGCCUCUAGAUAUUAUUUUUUAUAUAAUAUGCCAAUUAUCUCGAUACUUUAGAUCCUUCAAAUAUAUUACUUGUUUCGCUUGAGUUGCUA
rnacentral:lncRNA from 1 species